rnacentral:rRNA from 1 species
UCGAGAAUUUUUCACAAUGGGGGCAACCCUGAUGGAGCGACGCCGCGUGGAGGAUGAAGGCCUUCGGGUUGUAAACUCCUGUCAUGCGGGAACAAGCAAGUGAUAGUACCGCAAGAGGAAGAGACGGCUAACUCUGUGCCAGCAGCCGCGGUAAUACAGAGGUCUCAAGCGUUGUUCGGAUUCAUUGGGCGUAAAGGGUGCGUAGGUGGUGACGCAAGUCUGGUGUGAAAUCUCGGAGCUCAACUCCGAAAUUGCACCGGAUACUGCGUGACUCGAGGACUGUAGAGGAGAUCGGAAUUCACGGUGUAGCAGUGAAAUGCGUAGAUAUCGUGAGGAAGACCAGUUGCGAAGGCGGAUCUCUGGGCAGUUCCUGACACUGAGGCACGAAGGCCAGGGGGAGCAAACGGGAUUAGGAUACCCCGGUAGUCCUGGCAGUAAACGGUGCACGUUUGGUGUGGGCGGGUUCAGACCCCGUCCGUGCCGGAG